rnacentral:rRNA from 1 species
UACAGAGGGUGCGAGCGUUGUUCGGAAUUAUUGGGCGUAAAGGGCGCGUAGGCGGUGCGGUAAGUCACCUGUGAAAUCUCCUGGCUUAACUGGGAGCCUGCAGGCGAAACUACCGUGCUGGAGUGUGGGAGAGGUGCGUGGAAUUCCCGGUGUAGCGGUGAAAUGCGUAGAUAUCUGGAGGAACACCGGUGGCGAAGGCGGCAUCCUGGACCAACACUGACACUGAGGAGCGAAAGCCAGGGGAGCAAACGGG